GACGAACGCUGGCGGCGUGCUUAACACAUGCAAGUCGAACGGUGAAGGGGUCUGCUUUUGUGGGCCCUGGAUGAGUGGCGAACGGGUGAGUAACACGUGAGUAACCUGUCCCCUUCUUCUGGAUAACCGCAUGAAAGUGUGGCUAAUACGGGAUAUUCUGGGUCUGUCGCAUGAUGGGUCUGGGAAAGAUUGCGCCUUUGGGUGUUUUUGGUGGGGGAUGGGCUCGCGGCCUAUCAGCUUGUUGGUGGGGUGAUGGCCUACCAAGGCGGUGACGGGUAGCCGGCCUGAGAGGGUGGACGGUCACACUGGGACUGAGACACGGCCCAGACUCCUACGGGAGGCAGCAGUGGGGAAUAGUGCACAAUGGGCGCAAGCCUGAUGCAGCGACGCCGCGUGAGGGAUGGAGGCCUUCGGGGUGUAAACCUCUUUCGCCAGUGAAGCAGGCCUGCUCCUUGUGGGUGGGUUGACGGUAGCUGGAGAAGAAGCGCCGGCUAACUACGUG
rnacentral:rRNA from 1 species